GUGCUGAGGAAAGCCCUCCAAGCACCUCUCUGACAAGAUUGUAACUGAGAAGAGGAAAAACUAAUGAUCUCUGUAUACUAACACUUUUGCUUGAUGUUUAUUUUUAGCAAGAGCACAGUCAGAGCUUUCCCAAGGACUACUUUGGUGCUGUGUGAAAAGUCUUCCAGGUUGUUGACAGAAGUACAUUUCUCUUCAUCAAAGUUCCUGGAUUAUGAGCAGUAAAUGUCUAUGUCGUCUCUGAUUCUGUCCUGAUUUACUUGGAGAGACAGGAAGGAUAGAAAUAAGAAGUGUUGCUGUUGACUUUUAUCCAAAACUCUUGAGGAAAAGACUGAUGGGACUUUUGUCUUCUCUGAGAACUGGGAGUCUGGGACUUUGGCUGGUCUGUGCCUGCCCAGAUCAUUUUGACUGUUGAGCUUUCUGCACAAGGGAGCCAGUUUCUUAGAAAAUAGAUAGCUAUGCAGAAGGGCAAGGAAAAUGGAGUGCUUGAUCCUGCUGAUGGCCUAUGUGAGAGAUACUGUGAAGGCUACUACUCUGAUCCCUAUAAAUAAUAAAUAAAAUGUUGAAUAAAAGGUU